AAAUGGUUAUUCAGCUGCAUCUCGGAAAGACAUAGCUUGGCCUAGGCUGACAGCUAUUGUUUCCUUUUGCUGCCUUUUGGGGUGGGAGCCAAGGAAAUGUGGGGCAGAGAUGCAGGGGACCGUAGUGAGAAAAGUGGUACCGGGAGAGAUUCAGUAUCGUGCACAAAGUCACACAAUUAACAUGUGGUUGAUUCAGGAUUGGAGCACAAUGCAAUCUGACUAUAGAACCCAUAACUCCUAAAUGCUGGAACCUAUAAAUAUCUAGGAUCACAACUGUUUUUGUUCUCAAACAAGCACAGAGUGAGCUGAACAUCACAAAGGAGAAUCAAACCAGUGUUGAAUACCUACUGAGGAAAGAUGCCUCCAAUCUGGGGCUUCAGAUCCACUAAUUUUGGCUUUCCCACUGGUCCCUCUCAGAUUGUGGCACCUGUUCGCACUACAAAAUGAAUCAGGCAAUAAACGACAUCCAAAGAGCAAGCCUCUUGAGUCCCAGCUGGUACAAUGGUGUGGCUUAUUGUCAGGUGUUGAGAUCCUACAAAAGUGAUGAAUCUUUGCUUGAAAGCCACCUGCCACACAGACACCUACCUAGCAGCAUUCUGGGAGCUCAGGAUAUGUGAGCAGGAAAGGAUUUGAUUACCAACUGAAAGGCAUUUUCAUUUUGACAUAUGAAGAAACCAGAGAGAGCAAGUAAGUUGGUUUAUGUCACGCAGCAAGUUGGUGGUAAAGUCAGCAAAAAUUUGGGACAGCCCUGAGAUCUUCCUGAGGAAUUCUUCCACGCAUUUUUUUCAUCCAUCCGAUAAACAUCUGUCUGACCCAGAGACUGUGCUUAACUCUCAAAGUGAUGACAAGUAACUAGACAAAAUGAAACACGUUAAGUGGCAGAACAUGUGAAGGGAGAGGAUCCACAAGUGUGGAAUCAUCUUCUAAUAACCAUCACCAGUGCAAUCAUUUACAAUUGGAAAGGACAGGCUGCUGGAAGACAAGGGGCUGUCCUGGCAAGGCAAGCACAGCCCAGAUCCCUGCCUUUCUCUGUCUUUUCCCAUUUCUGCACUGCUUUGACAGUUUUGAGCUGAUUCUGGUCAUGGCCUGGAGGGAGAGAACAUUCAUGGCAGCCCCAAAGAAGAACAAUUAGGUUUCGCAUUAGCUUCUCUCAUGACUUCAUCAUUGACUGUCUCUCUUUGUUGAAAUAUUUGAGAAAAUAACCCCAGAGAGAUUUCUGGAAUACAUGAGACAUGGAGAUUUUUAAAUAAAGGACAUUCCAUGGAGAACAAGCUUAAAUAUUGACUCAUCAGAGGAAGCACAUUCUCAAGCUUGCGUAAACGCUCACUGAACUUCUGGCUGCCUGACUCUCAGCAGGAAUGUUUUCAAUACCUGGCCAUCCUAUAGUUGGUGAGAAGUUCCAACAUGCCCACCCAGAAAUUAGAAACCUGAACAACCCCUGACUCUAGGACGGUCUUUGAACCCCAGUUUGAAUUGGAUACAUCUGUCUUCAAAAGAACUUAAAAUCCAACAUGAAAGUCAUGGAGGAAAACAUUGUCUUCACAUUUAGAAGGUGGGGUUCCAAAGCGUGAAUUUUUCUGCCCGGUCAGGAUUGCUUUCUUAUUUUUAGGACCCCCAGGUCGAUUGAUGCUUUCUCGCUUCAUGUCUCUGUUCUUGAAAGAACUGCUGGACUGCCAAGGUUCUCUGUGAUCUUUAAAGCACAAACGUACACUGUGAUAAUAUCUUAUAUGCAAUCUCCAAUGUAUUUCAAUGUAGUGAAGACAUGUCUUUUCUCAGACUUUAAAAUAAACUUUAACAUGUUUUAG
rnacentral:lncRNA from 1 species